GAUGAACGCUGGCGGCGUGCUUAACACAUGCAAGUCGAACGGAAAGGCCCAAGCUUGCUUGGGUACUCGAGUGGCGAACGGGUGAGUAACACGUGGGUGAUCUGCCCUGCACUUCGGGAUAAGCCUGGGAAACUGGGUCUAAUACCGGAUAGGACCACAUUUUGGAUGGUGUGGUGGAAAGUUUUUCGGUGUGGGAUGAGCUCGCGGCCUAUCAGCUUGUUGGUGGGGUAAUGGCCUACCAAGGCGUCGACGGGUAGCCGGCCUGAGAGGGGGUACGGCCACAUUGGGACUGAGAUACGGCCCAGACUCCUACGGGGAGCAGCAGGGGGGAAUAUUGCACAAUGGGCGGGAGCCUGAUGCAGCGACGCCGCGUGGGGGAUGACGGCCUUCGGGUUGUAAACUGCUUUCGCUAGGGACGAAGCGUUAUGUGACGGUACCUGGAGAAGAAGCACCGGCUAACUACGUG
rnacentral:rRNA from 1 species